CAGUAGCCGCGGUAAUACGUAGGGUGCGAGCGUUAGUCGGAAUUACUGGGCGUAAAGCGUGCGCAGGCGGUUGUGUAAGACAGGUGUGAAACCCCCGGGCUUAACCUGGGAACUGCGCUUGUGACUGCACAGCUAGAGUAUGGCAGAGGGGGGUGGAAUUCCACGUGUAGCAGUGAAAUGCGUAGAGAUGUGGAGGAACACCGAUGGCGAAGGCAGCCCCCUGGGCCAAUACUGACGCUCAUGCACGAAAGCGUGGGGAGCAAACAGGAUUAGAUACCCCCGUAGUCCCUGUCUCUUAUAC
rnacentral:rRNA from 1 species